rnacentral:tRNA from 1 species
GCUGACGUAGCUCAGUCGGUAGAGCAGCUGCCUUGUAAUCAGCAGGUCGGGGGUUCGAUUCCCUCCGUCAGCA